rnacentral:rRNA from 1 species
AAUAGCAGAGAGGAUACACCUGUUCCCAUUCCGAACACAGAAGUUAAGCUCUCUAGCGCUGAUGGUACUUGGUGGGAAGCUGCCUGGGAGAGUAGGACAUAGCCACGU